rnacentral:rRNA from 1 species
AACGCGAAGAACCUUACCUGGGCUCGAAGCGCAGUGGACCGGGGUAGAAAUAUCCCUUCCUCGCAAGAGGCUGCUGCGGAGGUGCUGCAUGGCUGUCGUCAGCUCGUGUCGUGAGAUGUUGGGUUAAGUCCCGCAACGAGCGCAACCCUUAUCCCUAGUUGCCAUCGGGUCAAGCCGGGCACUCUAGUGAAACCGCCCAGGAUAACUGGGAGGAAGGUGGGGAUGACGUCAAGUCCUCAUGGCCUUUAUGUCCAGGGCUACACACGUGCUACAAUGGUCGGUACAAACCGUCGCAAACCCGCGAGGGGGAGCCAAUCUCAAAAAACCGUUCUCAGUUCGGAUUGGAGUCUGCAACUCGACUCCAUGAAGCUGGAAUCGCUAGUAAUCGCUGAUCAGCAAGCAGCGGUGAAUACGUUCCCGGGCCUUGUACACACCGCUCGCGA